GUAGAUAUUUUCGCGGAGUUAUAAACAGUUUACAGUCUUAGAAAGUAUCCUAAUAGUGAAAUAUUGUCAAAUUACGAUCACGGACAAAGAUUCGUUUCAACGACGGUGAGAGAGAAUCUUCGGUAUCUUCUCAGAAUAAACGUUGCCUAUCGUGUUAAUUCGUUGACAGAAACACAACUAAGAGUUUGCUAUUCGUGAAGUGUAUAAUUCUCUCGAGUAAUAUGGAUACCAGUUAUUUGCACAAUAUUUGAUUCGUAAUGUCCAUUUGCAUCAUUUAAUUUACUAAUUAUAUAUUCGGCCUAGAGCGUAAAUUACACGCGGUCCAACAAGACUCGUCGUUAAAUGCGAGAUGAAAAAUGAAGCGAUUUCACCGUGAUAUAUCGUGAGCAAUAUAUUGCGAUUUGUUCCUUGCAAUAUCCAAUUUUUUAUCAAAUUUUAUUGGGACAAUGUUAUCGUCAGACAAGUUCGUUAAGGAGAGAGAGAAGAGGAUGGCUUGAUUACUAGAUGAUCAUACGAGAGCGAGAAGGAUAAU